rnacentral:rRNA from 1 species
GUGGGGAAUCUUGCGCAAUGGGCGAAAGCCUGACGCAGCCAUGCCGCGUGAAUGAUGAAGGUCUUAGGAUUGUAAAAUUCUUUCACCGGGGACGAUAAUGACGGUACCCGGAGAAGAAGCCCCGGCUAACUUCGUGCCAGCAGCCGCGGUAAUACGAAGGGGGCUAGCGUUGCUCGGAAUUACUGGGCGUAAAGGGCGCGUAGGCGGACAGUUUAGUCAGAGGUGAAAGCCCAGGGCUCAACCUUGGAAUUGCCUUUGAUACUGGCUGUCUUGAGUACGGGAGAGGUGAGUGGAACUCCGAGUGUAGAGGUGAAAUUCGUAGAUAUUCGGAGGAACACCAGUGGCGAAGGCGGCUCACUGGCUCGAUACUGACGCUGAGGUGCGAAAGCGUGGGGAGCAAACAGGAUUAGAAACCCCGGUAGUCC